UGUCAGGUAUGCUCUUUUAACCACAAACCAAGUAAAGCAUUUUACCUUAUUUGGGGAUGGACUAUUCCAUAGGUUUCUGCAUAUUUUUGGUUGCCCUCUACACUGUACCCUUUCUUCCAUUUUUAAACCCUUUUAAUAAAAAAUUGCCCAUCAAUAUUGUGUUUCCAUCUUAAUGUAUCUGGUUCAGCAGUAGUGCCAUUGAAAUCAUCAACCCUAUUUAGCAAAUCGGCUACUCUAUCGAUCUAGCAGUCAUUUAGCAAUCUCAUGAAGAAUAGGUAUCCCUGUGCACUCUACAUAUCAUAUUUACAGAAUGUUUGGAGAGUGCUUUUUAUGAUUUGGCAUAAUUUUGGGUCUACUUUUGACAUUAGUACCAGAUCGUCAGCGAAGAAAAGGAUUGGUGUUCCAUACAAAGGAUGAGGAUGUAGGGUGACAUUGGGUCUGUUGACGUAUACCUCUCGAUAGUUCACAAAAUUCUUUCUAGCUCCAUUUACUAGUAUUGCUAUUUUUCUUGUGGAGAUACAAGACAUGAUGAUAUUAGUGAUCUUGGGAGAAGAGUUGAAGAUUGUUGAAUGACCAUUCUAUUUUGUCAAAGGCUUUUUCUAAAUCUAUUUUCAUUGUCAAGUUCCCCUUUUACCAUCAUUCUCUUAAAGUACUUAAUUAGUUCCUGUAUUAUCAUAGCAUUAUCAGUUGCCUGUCUAUUCAUUAAGAAGAUAGCUUGGUUUGGACCAAUAAGAUUAUUCUUUAAGGGUCGGAUUUUUUUGGUUAUGAUUUUAUAAGUAGUGUUACAAUGGCUUGUGGUCUAAAAUUUUUAAGGGAUGACGCGUUUUUGUUUUUUGGUAUCAAACAAACUUGUGUUGUUGAUUUCAGGAUCGAUGGUUCCCUUGGUCCAAAUGUCUUAACAAAUGGAUACUACAGAGAAGCCCACGUUCCCCCGGUAGUUUUGGUAGAAGAAGGGAUGAAUUCCAUCUGGUCCAGGAGCUAUAUUUUGGUUGAAGGAUUUAACGACAUUCCAGAUUUCUUCUGUCAUUAUUCCCUAUCUAAUAACGAGAAUUCGUUACUUGAGGGGGGUAUUAUGAGUGUAGUUAUCACUUUUGGGAGACAUUUGGUGGCUAGUUUGGAAUGAUUUUUGAAGUAUAAAGUUGUUUGUUACAUUAUGUCUUCAUUAUCAUAAUCCCAGUUCCCAAAGUCUAGUUGUAGGGCGUUUAUUCUGUUUCUUGUUUUCCUAU